GUCAGCUUCUAGCCAACCAGGGUUGAUCUUGAAAGCUAAGCAUGGUUGGCCUAAAUAGUGCUUGGAUAGGAGAGUGCUUGGGAAUGCCAGGCACAGUAGGCU
rnacentral:rRNA from 1 species